AAGUCGUAACAAGGUCUCCGUAGGUGAACCUGCGGAGGGAUCAUUACAAGAACGCCCGGGCUUCGGCCUGGUUAUUCAUAACCCUUUGUUGUCCGACUCUGUUGCCUCCGGGGCGACCCUGCCUUCGGGCGGGGGCUCCGGGUGGACACUUCAAACUCUUGCGUAACUUUGCAGUCUGAGUAAACUUAAUUAAUAAAUUAAAACUUUUAACAACGGAUCUCUUGGUUCUGGCAUCGAUGAAGAACGCAGCGAAAUGCGAUAAGUAAUGUGAAUUGCAGAAUUCAGUGAAUCAUCGAAUCUUUGAACGCACAUUGCGCCCCCUGGUAUUCCGGGGGGCAUGCCUGUUCGAGCGUCAUUUCACCACUCAAGCCUCGCUUGGUAUUGGGCAACGCGGUCCGCCGCGUGCCUCAAAUCGACCGGCUGGGUCUUCUGUCCCCUAAGCGUUGUGGAAACUAUUCGCUAAAGGGUGUUCGGGAGGCUACGCCGUAAAACAACCCAAUUUCUAAGGUUGACCUCGGAUCAGGUAGGGAUACCCGCUGAACUUAA
rnacentral:rRNA from 1 species